rnacentral:rRNA from 1 species
GACGUUAGCGACAGAAGAAAGCACCGGCUAACUCCGUGCCAGCAGCCGCGGUAAUACGGAGGGUGCGAGCGUUAAUCGGAAUUACUGGGCGUAAAGCGCAUGCAGGUGGUUUGUUAAGUCAGAUGUGAAAGACCCGGGGCGUCAACCUACGGAAUAGCAUUUGUAAACUAGGCAGACUAGAGUACUGUAGAGGGGGGUAGGAAUUUCAGGUGUAGCGGUGAAAUGCGUAGAGAUCUGAAGGAAUACCGGUGGCGAAGGCGGCCCCCUCGGACAGAUACUGACACUCAGAUGCGAAAGCGUGGGGAGCAAACAGGAUUAGAUACCCUGGUAG